rnacentral:misc_RNA from 1 species
UUUAGCGGCUGAGCCUGAGGGGCGUUAUUACACCAAUCCUUAGAAUUCGUGUCCGGGGCUCGAAGGUCGCCUCCUCUCUCUCCCUGUCUCUCUCUUGCUCGCAGAUUCCUCUGCUUUUCGGUCCUAUACAGUAAGUCCUCCUUCCUUCGAAGCUCGAAUCCCCAUGAGAAAACAAAGAUUGUUAAACCUUUUUUCUUGAUCUUUUCUGCAUACCCAGAUUAUUAAACCUCAAAAAGAUUUGAAAUUGGAAAAAGAUUCCUUCUCAAACACAUCUUGGUUUAUGUUCGAUUUUGAGUAGAUGAAAGUUGCGACGAUUCCAGAUUUUGGAUCCUGAUUUGGGUCAGUUUGGUUGCAUGGUUACUUUAGAUUUUGACUUUGAAUGGACUGUUUUCAGCUAUGAUGCUAAUUCAAUUGGAUGCGUGAUUGUCUUGAUUGUGUUUGAUUCCUGAGAAAACGGAGGAAAAAUGCAAAACCAUAAGUUUUAGUGGAUUGUUUCCGUCUGAAGAGAAGCCCUCAAAAAAUUCACCUAGAGAAACCUUACGAACUCAAAACCACCAAAAUGAAGAGAAAGAAAUGGUCUGAACAUGAAGAGCAAACCCUUUUAACCAAAUACUCCGAUCUCCUUACUUCGGGCACUCUAUCUAAGCUCAAAACCCGAGAGAAAAAGUUCCGACCAAUAGCGGACCACGUCAACUCUGUGCACCAUCUGCAAGACCCAGUCAGCUUCCCCUUCAAGUGGUCAUGGCGUGAUGUGUCCAUUAAAGUGCAGAACAUGAGGCACCAGUACCUGGGUGUGAAGCAGAAGAUCAGAAUCUCUAAAGAUGAAUUCAACUGGAAAGAUGGGGAGAACCACUGGGAGAAUUUCUUGAAGUACAAAGAGGUGUUUGGGGACGUGGAGCUUGAAGUGAAGAGCAAGAAAUCGAGUGAUAGUUGCAGUAAUGAUUUGUUUAAGGAUUGUGGGGAUUUGGGUUUUGGGAUUGAUAGUGAGGAUUUAGAGGAAGAGGAGGAGGAAGAAGAUGGAGAAGAAGAAGGAGAAAAUGGGGAUGAUGAUAAUGUUAAUGGCGGUGGUGAAGAAGAGGGUGAAUUUGGGGGAGAGAAAGGAAAUGACGAGAUGGGCAUCCCUCGAAAGGCUAAAGUGAAGAAGGGUCUGGGAGGAAACAGGAGAUUAGGGUUGCUUGGAGCGCAAGUGGUGGAUUUGAGAGAUGUGGUGAUGAGGAGGGAGGGUAAAAGAAGAGAAAGGGAGUUCAAUAGAGAAAAGUGUAUGCUAGAGAAUGAAGAAAAGAGGAGAGAAUUAGAGCUUAGGAGAGAAACACGAAGGAAUGAGAGGGAAGAGAGGUUAGAAAAUUGGGAAAUGGAGUUUGAAGAGAGGGAAAUGAUGUGGGCUCGAAGGGGAUUCGAGAGACAGGCAAGGGUGGAGAGGGAAUUGGAGGAGGAAAGGAAAAAGAGGAGGAUAAUGGAGGAGAAGAGGGAGGAGGAAGAGAUGGAAUGGAGGGAGAGGAUGGUGGCAAUGCAGAUUGAUCAUGAGAAGGCAAUGAUGCAAAUACAAGCCGAUGCAUUCCAGAACCAAAUGCAGAUUCUUGGACUUAUGGCUAGGCUUAUUUGCCAAUUUUUUGGGGCAAAUGAUGGAUUGGGCGGUGGUUUAGGAGGUCUGCCCCCUCAAGUUCUGCAGAAUUUGCAGCACCCUGGAAGCUUGGGCGAUAAUGGGAAGCCUGAUACAAAUUCGCCUUCUGAAUUCAUGUAGAGUGUAAUGCUAAUCCCCCUUCGACAUAUUUGUGGCAGAUGAAACACGUGAUUGUUUGAUGCACAGUUUUUGCAUUAUCAUGGUCGGAAUUGGAAAAUUAUGGAGUGUUUAUAUCAUUCGACAUCCAUGGUAUUAGCUAUUAUCAUAUGUACCAAACUUCACUGCUAUAUAUAUUUGGGAUUUCUUUCUAUCUGUAUGGGAAAAAGUAGUGAAAUAAAAUAAGAGAUGCAUUGAUAGAACUAUGAGAAAUGAACUCUUAUCUAAGAAGAACACUCUAGCAACCAAUUUAAACAAUUGGAAACUAGAGGCUAAAGAAACAAAAUUGUAAAAUUAAUUGCAAGAGGCUUCUUAACAUAGGAGUUUCGGCCAUUCACCUACCCCCCACACCCGCGUCACCGCCCCCCGCCCCCCCAAAACAAAAAAAAAGGACAUUUAUUUCUACAUUAUUCCGAAAUAAGAAGUAAUGAGGCUUUAACCCAUAGAAUUUCAGAGGAAUGAAGAAGCCUACAACAAAUCAAGAAAUCAAGAAUCUCUACAUGUACUUUACAGUAUGAUAAAAGCUUCUUCGUGUCGCAUUGGCUUCUUUUGCCUUGGGCAAAUUAACUAUAGACCAAUGCCAAGCUAUGAUUUCUUUGGCUUUGGCCAAAUUCGCAGUUCUGGGAUGCCGACCUUUAAUGUGCAUAAAACCAACAACUCCUUGGCAAAACACAGGGUUACCACCACAACAUCAUUCUAUCAUACACAUAAAUGUUGUUCAGUGAUCUGAUAUCCACAAUUCUAUCUUCGUAGGUGCAUAGGUAAAGACUUUUUUAUAUAUUUUGUCAUCUCAUUCCAGGUAGAGUUUCAGUGUGAGGAUCCUCAGAUGGCAUCAUGUUUAAAUCAGGUAGCAGGAAGGAUCUAUCAUGGUUUGAAAUUGCGCCUUGUGUUUCACUAGAAUCCAACUUGGUAUUAUCACCUGGAACAUGCAUAGGCAACAAUGAACUAAUGUGGCUGGGAGAAGAGGGUUCUCUCUGCUGGGGCUGGCUGCAAAUUGCUUUCUCAAGCACACCAGACAUUAACCUUGAAUCCUUUGCACAUUGCAAAUUCAAAUCAAGCUUUAUUCUCUUCAAAUUCUCAUUCCUUGCCAUUUGUUCCUUAAAUAUGGCAUUUAAAGUUGCUAAUUCCUUUUUCAGAUGCAUCCUUUCUUUCAACAGAAAACUCUCCUCUUCUUUAAGUUCAGCAAAGGUCUGAAAAACGUCAAUGAAGUAAGCAGAUUAAAACAUGUAUUAAGUCAUCAAAUACAAUCAAGUGAACUCAUAUCAACCACGCAUCACGAAGCCCUAAGAAGUAAGAAACACUCGGUAUUAGCACCAAAAAGGAAAAGAUGGCCCAAGAGAUGGCCCAAAAGUAGUCACCCCAGUGCAGAGUUUAUACUUUUUUUUCCAAGUGAAAGCCCAGAAGCAGCACCCACUAGACAAAGGGAAAGGAGGGGCGAGGUGUUUGAAUUAGCCAGGGCAGAUCAUGAGAUUUUAAACAGAAAUUAAAAUUAUGUUAUCUAAUACCUUCUUCCUUCUUGACCUCUUGGUGGUGCUAGCGGUUUCAGCAGCAAUAGCAGUAGCCUUGGUUCUGGCGCCAGAAGGAGAACGGAUGACAUGAGGGCUGGUAUCUUCGACGCCGUCAGCAGUGGCUGAGGGGGAAGCAGAGCCGCCACCACCACCGCUCCAGGAAAGCGGCGUGGUAGGACUACAUCUAGCAGAAGAAUCUCCUUCUUUCCUCCUACAAACAACAUCACAUCGCACAGAUGAUAUAGCUGUCGUUGUCUUGGACCUCGGAAGUCGUAACCCCCAUCUAAGUGGAAUAACCGCCUGAGGUUUCGCCGUUGCCGCUGCUUGCGCUUGCUUGAGCCGCACAAGUAGCUCCACAACCACUCUAUCAUCUGUCAUAGCAGCCCUGAUCCACUCAUCCUUCACCAUCGCCACCGCCCUACACUUCCCAAGAGAGAGAGAGAGAGAGAGAG